GUGCCAAAAGGAAUCCAAACUUGAACCUGAUUUGUGCACCUAUAGGUCCCACGCCACAACUUUUUUUGACACCCUUUUUUUCUUUAUUUUUAGUGUGUAAGAAGGGAGUUAUAGACCCCCUUAUCCUAUGUAAUAUGAGGCAUGAUUCCAUGAUGGGGUGGUAUCCAAUUUUUGGGAGAGUUCAAUGCUCUUUGGACUCUAUCUCCC
rnacentral:lncRNA from 1 species